rnacentral:rRNA from 1 species
CAGCAGCAGCCGCGGUAAUACGGAGGGUGCAAGCGUUAAUCGGAAUUACUGGGCGUAAAGCGCACGCAGGCGGUCUGACAAGUCAGAUGUGAAAUCCCCGGGCUUAACCUGGGAACUGCAUUUGAAACUGUCAGGCUGGAGUCUUGUAGAGGGGGGUGGAAUUCCAGGUGUAGCGGUGAAAUGCGUAGAGAUCUGGAGGAAUACCGGUGGCGAAGGCGGCCCCCUGGACAAAGACUGACGCUCAGGUGCGAAAGCGUGGGGAGCAAACAGGAUUAGAUACCCCUGUAGUCCCUGUCUCUUAUAC